AGAGUUUGAUCCUGGCUCAGAUUGAACGCUGGCGGCAGGCCUAACACAUGCAAGUCGAACGGUAACAGGAAGAAGCUUGCUUCUUUGCUGACGAGUGGCGGACGGGUGAGUAAUGUCUGGGAAACUGCCUGAUGGAGGGGGAUAACUACUGGAAACGGUAGCUAAUACCGCAUAACGUCGCAAGACCAAAGAGGGGGACCUUCGGGCCUCUUGCCAUCGGAUGUGCCCAGAUGGGAUUAGCUAGUAGGUGGGGUAACGGCUCACCUAGGCGACGAUCCCUAGCUGGUCUGAGAGGAUGACCAGCCACACUGGAACUGAGACACGGUCCAGACUCCUACGGGAGGCAGCAGUGGGGAAUAUUGCACAAUGGGCGCAAGCCUGAUGCAGCCAUGCCGCGUGUAUGAAGAAGGCCUUCGGGUUGUAAAGUACUUUCAGCGGGGAGGAAGGGAGUAAAGUUAAUACCUUUGCUCAUUGACGUUACCCGCAGAAGAAGCACCGGCUAACUCCGUGCCAGCAGCCGCGGUAAUACGGAGGGUGCAAGCGUUUAAUCGGAAUUACUGGGCGUAAAGCCCACGCAGGCGGUUUGUUUAAGUCAGAUGAGAAAUCCCCGGGCUCACCCUGGGAACUGCAUCUGAUACUGGCAAGCUUGAGUCUCGUAGAGGGGGGUAGAAUUCCAGGUGUAGCGGUGAAAUGCGUAGAGAUCUGGAGGAAUACCGGUGGCGAAGGCGGCCCCCUGGACGAAGACUGACGCUCAGGUGCGAAAGCGUGGGGAGCAAACAGGAUUAGAUACCCUGGUAGUCCACGCCGUAAACGAUGUCGACUUGGAGGUUGUGCCCUUGAGGCGUGGCUUCCGGAGCUAACGCGUUAAGUCGACCGCCUGGGGAGUACGGCCGCAAGGUUAAAACUCAAAUGAAUUGACGGGGGCCCGCACAAGCGGUGGAGCAUGUGGUUCAAUUCGAUGCAACGCGAAGAACCUUACCUGGUCUUGACAUCCACGGAAGUUUUCAGAGAUGAGAAUGUGCCUUCGGGAACCGUGAGACAGGUGCUGCAUGGCUGUCGUCAGCUCGUGUUGUGAAAUGUUGGGUUAAGUCCCGCAACGAGCGCAACCCUUAUCCUUUGUUGCCAGCGGUCCGGCCGGGAACUCAAAGGAGACUGCCAGUGAUAAACUGGAGGAAGGUGGGGAUGACGUCAAGUCAUCAUGGCCCUUACGACCAGGGCUACACACGUGCUACAAUGGCGCAUACAAAGAGAAGCGACCUCGCGAGAGCAAGCGGACCUCAUAAAGUGCGUCGUAGUCCGGAUUGGAGUCUGCAACUCGACUCCAUGAAGUCGGAAUCGCUAGUAAUCGUGGAUCAGAAUGCCACGGUGAAUACGUUCCCGGGCCUUGCACACAACGCCCGUCA
rnacentral:rRNA from 1 species